rnacentral:misc_RNA from 1 species
CCGCGGCUCGCUCGCGCCCCGGAAACUGCCCCUUCUCGGGGGUCAUGAUGGGCAGCAAGAUGGCGUCUGCUAGUAGGGUCGUUCAGUAUCAGAAGCUUUGAGAUCAGCAGGGCUACCAUCUCACUCUUCUGUAAUUUCACAACAUUCUAAAGGAAGUAAAUCACCAGAUUUGCUGAUGUAUCAGGGUCCACCGGACACUGCAGAAAUAAUAAAAACAUUACCUCAGAAAUACAGAAGGAAACUUGUGUCUCAAGAAGAAAUGGAAUUUAUCCAACGUGGAGGUCCUGAAUAACCAUGG